AUUGAACGCUGGCGGCAGGCCUAACACAUGCAAGUCGAGCGGAGCGGCGGACGGGUGAGUACUGCCUAGGAAUCUGCCUGGUAGUGGGGGAUACCGUCCGGAAACGGGCGCUAAUACCGCAUACUAUCAGAUGAGCCUCGGUGGGCUUAGCUAGUUGGUGGGGUAAAGGCCUACCAAGGCGACGAUCCGUAACUGGUCUGAGAGGAUGAUCAGUCACACUGGAACUGAGACACGGUCCAGACUCCUACGGGAGGCAGCAGUGGGGAAUAUUGGACAAUGGGCGAAAGCCUGAUCCAGCCAUGCCGCGUGUGUGAAGAAGGUUUUCGGAUUGUAAAGCUCUUUAAGUUGGGAGGCGGUACCAACAGAGUAAGCACCGGCUAACUUCGUGCCAGCAGCCGCGGUAAUAC
rnacentral:rRNA from 1 species